UGAAACUCAAAGGUAUUGACGGGGGCCCGCACAAGCGGCGGAGCAUGUGGAUUAAUUCGAUGCAACGCGAAGAACCUUACCUGGGCUUGACAUGUGCCGGAAUGUCCCGGAGACGGGGCAGCCAUCCCCUUGUGGGGUGGCCGGUUCACAGGUGGUGCAUGGUCGUCGUCAGCUCGUGUCGUGAGAUGUUGGGUUAAGUC
rnacentral:rRNA from 1 species